rnacentral:misc_RNA from 1 species
GGCAAUUUUUUUUUCAUUAAGAUUUUUAAAACUAAGUUUUACAUUGUGAAGGAAAAAAAAAAUGUAAAUGAAGAGUAUUAAAGCAUGUCAUGCUUAUUAUUAAUAUAUUUUUUUUUUAAUGCAGAACCACAUAAUUACAUUAGCAAUUAUGCUAAUGAACAUAAUUUGGCAAUGACAUAUCCUUACUGGAAUCAACUUCUUUAUUUUUUCCUAAAUUUUGUAUCUGUCUUGGUCUCAGCUAUAUCCUUGUCUCUCUCUGAAUUUCUUGUAUAUAUCACCACUGUAAAAUUUCCUUGUCCUCACCACCAAAAUUAGUGAAACAAAAGCACCAAAUAAAGCAGCAGAAGCCAAAAUUAUAAACGGUUUCCUGUAACAUUCAACUCCAAUGCAAACCAAUUCCUUCACUGCUGAUCUAUCCAGACCCUUGGCUCUUAGCUGUUUUGUUGCCUCAUUAUCAUAUAAAAUUCCAGUGACCUGCACAUUCAGUAUGUAUGAACCAAGAGGACUUGCCAAUUGCCCACAGUUGAACAAUGUGGAGUAGUACUUUAGGCCAAAGAGCUCAGAAAUUAUGGCAAAAAGCAAAGGCAAUUGUGCACCAAAUGAGAAUCCCAUAAUCACCGAGGCAAUAUAGACUGAAUUGGGGAAAGGGAAGGCAAUGAUAAGGUGGCCUAUGCAGGAAAGGAGGAGGACAAAGGUCAUCAUCAAUGGCCUAGGGGUUUUGUACUUGACUAGCAUGGUUUCAGAGACAAAUCCAGCAAAGACCCUUCCAAAAUAAUUCCAUAUACUCACUAGGGAAACAAAGGAAUUGACUGUUUUAGUUGGAUAUCCUAGUGACUCACCAAUUUGACCCAAGUUGUCCACUGCUGUUAAGCUUGCACCAAGCCCGCAAAGUGUUGCAGCAAACAGGAUUAGCAUGUCAAUGCUAAGAAGUGCUUGUAAGAUGGUGUAGUCUUCACCUCUCUCUGGCUUGUCAAAUAUGGUGAGGAAGCAAGAUCUUUGAGCUUUCUCUUUUUCCUCUUUUGAGACACUAGACUUCACUGAUCCCUCAUCCUCUGAUGCAAUUUCACUUGGCUUCUGUAUGGUUAGUUCAGUAGGAGGCUUCAUUGCAUCCUCUUUCUUGAGGUUCCAUUGGACCCAUUCUUCUCUAAUGGCAAUUAGGAGAGGGACAAAAAGCAAAACACAAACCACAGUAGCACUUGCAGCAUAGGCUCCUCUUGAGAAAUUAAUGAUUUUUUCAAGUAUACUCAUGGCCAUGAGAAACAAAGCUAGCACAAUUGAGACAUAGAGGAAAUGGUAAAAGACUCUGAGCUCAUUAGGUUGCCUCUCAGACUUCAUUGUUCUAAUUGUAUACACAAAAAUCACAGAAAGAGCAGCAGGAAGCCAGGCAAUGAGAAGAAUGAGAGACUUGGAAUCGUUUCCAUAGAUGGCCAAGUAAAGUUGGGUAAAGAUAGCUCCACUUAGCCCAACAAAACCCUUCAAAAGACCCAACAUAACACCUCUACUUUCUGGGAAAUUUUUGACACAAGUGACGAGAGCUCCUGUAUUUGCGAAGUUUUGGGAAUUGGCUCCUAUGCAAAUAUAGAGACACAUUUGCCAGACACUAGGCUUGGCGAUCUUGCCAGUCACAGCUAACCAAAUCAUGAAAUACCCAACAAAGUUCAUAGCAGAGCCUGUGAGAAGCACAAACCAUGUUGGUGUUACUUCAGCUAUAAGGCCAGAAAGGACCCCAACAUUGGCACCAAGAUCCUUGAAGAAACCUAUAAGAUUCAGAGUUUUUUGGUCAUAGCCAAGAGUGGCUUUUAUAACUUUAGAGUAGGUUCCAAACAAAUAGGUUGCACCAGCUCCAGCCAUGAUUAUAAACGAGGCAAAAACCGAAAACCAUCUCCCAUUUAAAACAUGCACUGCAAAUCGCCAUUUCUCACCCAUUUUUUCUUCUUCUAUGAUAAGCCCUAGUGUAAGAG